AAGUGCACUAUAUUUGUACUAUAGCAUUAAAUUUGAGAUUAGCUAAAAAUACUAACAUGGUAAACGGAUGUUUACUAAACAGAUGUUUAAAUUAUCAGCUUCUAUGGGGUAUUUUCCUCCCUCCCUUUCCUUCCUACCUAUUUUUCCAACUUUCACUCUUGUAAGCAAAAAAGUAAUCAUAUCAUCCAAAGAAAUAAAUUUUACUUUGUUCUCUUCAAAAUAGAGAUGAUCAAAGGGUAGAAGAGAUCUAAAAGUGAGAGAAGAAAAGUGAUUUUACCAACAGGCCCAGGGCUCAGGUGUGAGGGGCCCUGAUCGGGUCUGUCACUGCUGCUCCAACCCCAGGCCAUUGGUGCCUCCAGAGUGGCACACCUCAGUUCCUUAAUGUACUGGUGGCAGGAGCCUGGCAGCAACUAGAAAGAAGAGCCAGGCUUUGUUGGAUAGGUCAACGAACUGGCCCUGUUCAAAAGCUACCCUACAUCUACUGAACAGCCGAGAACAUAAACAGACAAGAAAUGACCAAGGUUCUUAGGCCCCGACUUGGAUUAAAAGUGCGCCAGGGUCACUGCUGUAGAAACGAUGAUGCUUCCAAUCUCUGACUUCCUCUCCUCCUUCCUGCGCUGAAGGAGGUUGGACUGAUGCUGAUCGAAACUUGACAUUCAGAUUUUCAAGCGCCACUGUGUCCUGAGAAAAGAGUCUGGCUUUGGGGUAAAAAAAGCUCCGGGUUCAAAUCUUGCCUGUGGGACCACAGGCAAGUUACUUUAUUUCUAGAACUUUAGAGUUGUAAAAUGAGAAUACUAAUUGCUGUGCACAGGGGUUUGUUGUGAAGAUUUUACUAAGUGCUUAAAGCAGCUAUCAUAGAGAAAAGCCUAGAUGGAUGUUACCCCCACUUCUUUUCCCAGGAUACACCCUGAUCACUGCUCCUAAAUGAGCCGGGCUGAGGAGGGUCACACAUUCUAAACCAGUGAGGUUGCCCUGCUCUCCAGGCACCGGUGAUGCCAAGCUACAUCAGCACCGCAUCAGCAAUUCCUAUGUGACACUGAUCAGAUCUUUACCAGAGAUGUGUAUUCAACAGGAUCACCGUUGAAGAGGAGAAAUGAGAGGAAGAUUGUCAAAGCUAAUAUGUGGUUAUCGAUCAGAACUUCUGAGAGAAUCUUAAAUCAUCUUUCACGUGGAGGAAAGAAGACUGAAAGUGGAUUUAACAACUUUUAUUCAACUCAAGACCAUGCAUACGGGAUAUCGGCAGGAUGAUGGCUCCAGUCACAAAGGCCAGAAAAUGAGGAAGGGGAGUCAAAUUUGCAUUAGAGCGGGAGGAAGAAAGAAAGAUUGAAUUUAAGAUGAAGCUUCUUUAGAAAAUUCUUACAAAACCCCGGGAUAGGUGACAAUGGAAGCCUAUGGGAUUUUCUCUUGUGGAGCUCUGUGAAAACGGACAGCCCCUGUUCGUCUGGGCCAGGAGAGCGAAAAGAAGCAACCUUAGAGUCAUCUGUGACUGGGAGACGGAAUCCGAAUGCUCACGUAAGAUCGAGCGGGGGAAUGGGGCGCGCGGAGGAAGUACAGGCGAAGCGGAGGAAAAGACACAGGUCAUUUUGUUUCCUAGUGAAAGACACCACUCCACUCCUGGUGGAACCAUCCUAAAUUCCCAUCUGUGGGCCUCAGUUUCCUUUUCUGUAAUACGAAGUGCUUGUGUUACGCAUUCUCUUGGGUUCCUUCCAAUUUUGAAUUUGUGUUCGUGAAAUUGAUCCAGAGAAAAUGUGAGGACAUCUGUGAAAAGACACCUCAGUCCCAAACCCAGGCCGUCCCAGUGGGGUGAGUGGUGCACAGAGAGGCCAGCGCACCUGCACGGUGGAGGGCUGGGCACUGGGGUCAGACGGGGCAGGUAGGGGUUGAAAUCUUCCCUGCUUGUCAGCCAGAGGCAAGUUACUUAUCUUCUCUGAACUUCAAAAUCUUCAUUUGUAAAAUGGGGAUAAUAAUAGCUCAUUUGAACUGAAAUUAGAAAAUGCGAGUAGAAUACUUGGUACAGGAACAUCUAAUAGCUUCCAUGUAUCAGGCAUAUAAGUAUCAAUAAAACAGUACCUAUUGCAUUAAUAUUUUUGGAAUAAUAAUUUUAUACCUUUUUAUUUCUCACCUUUUUAUUUCUAUCUAUAUUGAG
rnacentral:lncRNA from 1 species